ACAAGCAUCUUGAAGACCUCCCCAACCAAGGGAAGACAGUUGUGAACAACGUUCCGAGCAAGCCAGAUCACAACCACCCACCUGAAGGGAGUGUGAUGCUGGGAAAGUGGGGCGCCUGCAUGUCUCCCAAAUCUCAGGCUUACUAUGAAAAGUUGUUAUCCAAUUGCUUCUAAUCGCUUGUAAUUCACUAGAUUGAGGUCUGAUAGG
rnacentral:lncRNA from 1 species